GCGGCCGGGAGGCGGGGGCGGAGGGGGCAGAGGAGGAGGAGCGGGGAAGGACCGACGGUAGGAGGGCCCGCCGCUGGCCAACUCCGCCGGUUGGCAAAGCCACCCCGGACUGGCUCUGGCCUCGCCGGCUGCAGGAGCGCCUCGCGGGGCCGCCCGCCUAUUCCAUGGUCGGCGCGAUGGGGGCCGGGGCCGGGCCGGAGCGAACAGGGAGCACCGAGCGAGCUGGGAGCAUGAGCUAGCGCAGCUCCCGGCAGCCUGCAGCGGCGAGGCUGGUCGGGCCAGGGUUGGCGGGGGGCAGUGCCUGGGACACAGCCCGGCGCUGGCCGGCAUGGCGGGGAGGGGGCGCGCUGGGAGGAGACUGGGCUGGGGAGGGAUCCCUGUGUGCAGUCCUUCAACCCUUCUGUGCCAGGGGAAGAGGGACGGCGCAGGGGGCCCCCUCUCGGGAAGCACACACGCUGCCUCCCAGAGGCCGAUCUUCACCAAGAAGGAUUCGCUGGAAACUUUCGGAAAACCGAGGGGCUCUUCAGCCUCCUCUCUACGUGCUACCUGGAGUCGGGGCGCCGCGAGUGCGCUUGGCUGCCCGCGCCCAGCCUCUGGCCUCGCCUCUUCUCGCGGGCCUCCCGGGUUUCCCUCUGCCCCCUUGCGGGGAUCCCCCUGUGCGCCCGACUCGGGAUCUGGAACAGGCCUCCCCAGAGGCUGUUAGUUCCAUAAGGGUGUCCGGCUCCCCCCUCUGUCUUGGGCUCACACUUCGCUUUCUGUUCGUGCUGGACCAAGUCCAAUACUGUGGCUGAUCGAAGUGGGGACAGCUGGCACGGUCCCUGGAGAGGCGGCCUGAAGAGGCUUCUGGCCUUGUGCAGGUAACACCAGCCUGCCCUACCUCCAACGUUAGAAUCUUAGUCCUCCCAUUUCCCCCAUUCUAGGUCUCCUGCCCCUCCUUGCUGAAGGUGUGGGCUGCCCUAGAGAUGGCUGGACUCACGACCUGCCGCAGUCUUUGGAAGCUCCCUCCAGAAACCGAACUGUGAAAGGAGCAAGAGUUGAAAUGAAGAAUGUGCUCUGAUACUUCAGUCUGAGAGUAUUUCUUUCCUGGAGAGAGAGGCAUCACUCCUAGAUGUGUGGGGGUCUUCACCCUUUCAGGAAUAAGACAGGUCCCUGCAGAGACUUUGGACCUGAUGUGGUGAAUAAAGUUGGUUAGUCUUUCUCACAGUUCUACCUUUAGGACAAAGAAUAGAAAGCCUCCCGUGACUAUAUUCACUAACUCUCAGCCCAGGCCAGAUCAUCCACCAGCCAGUGAAAGGGACCUCGUCUGUGGCCAAACUAGGUGCAGCUCGGUGCCCUCCUGUGAUAUUUCCAGCUCUCCAGCCUCCUGCUGACCACAGCUCACAGACCUCAUGGAGUAGUUUCCAGGACAAAGCAAGGUUAUGUCUCCACAACACCAAACAUUCCCAGGUGUGGCAGGCAAGCCAUUGAUUUAGAAGAGAGGAGGAGAGAGGAAGAGAAAACCAGAAAAGGCACUUUCUUGGUAAAGAGACAUCAGCUUUCUCACCAUGGCUGUUUCAUAACACAAGGAGACCUGGCCCAAGCUCAGAGGGGAAAGACCCCUGGGUGUUCAUGGAAAACCUUUAAGCACAGUGAGACCAAAUGUUAGUAGAUGGGGGAUAAAAGGGAGAAAUUCAUGGAGUAUGCCUAGAACAGGCCUUGUAUGCAGCAUCCCCUUCUUGCCUAGGACUUGAAGGGCCAGGCUUCCUGUCAUUGCCUCACUCAAAUGUAGCCCAGGAAGACAUUAGACUGAUAGCACUGAUCACCUCCAGACAAAACCCCUGCACCUGCACAGUCACAUAGACUUGGACAAAAGCCCAUCCUUACUAAGGAAGACCUAACAACUAUUUCUUCUCACGCCCAUUCUUGUCCACCGUCUUUAUCAAAAAGCCAGGAAAACUGCUUCUUCAGACACUUUCUGAGCCGGCUGUAUUUUGAAGGACAAAAAAAAAAAAAUUACUCUUUUGAGAGCAUUGUGUCUGCAAGGUGGGCUCACGUUAUUUUUGGUGAUCAGUUUAUGACUGGAGUUCAAAUAGACUGCUUAUUUUAUAAGAGUUUUUAAUUUUGAAUAUUCUUUUUGCUGAACUGUGUGCAUUUGUUUGGUUUUUAACUCACCACAUGAAUAUGACUAUAGAUUUUUUUUUCCUAGUUGACCAUGGUCAGAUUCACAAUUGCCUUUAAAAAAAAUUUGUUGGCUGGGCACGGUGGCUCACGCCUGUAAUCCCAACACUUUAGGAGGCUGAAGCAGGUGGAUCAUCUGAGGUCAGAAGUUCGAGGCCAACCUGGCCAACAUGGUGAAACUCCGUCUCUACUAAAAAUACAAAAAUUAGCCAGGCAGGGUGGCGCAUGCCUGUAAUCCCAGCUACUCAGGAGGCUAAGGCAGGAGACUCUCUUGAACCCGGAAGGUGGAGGUUGCAGUGAGCCGAGAUCACGACACUGCACUCCAGCCUGGGUGGCAGAGCGAGACUCUGUCUCAGAAGAAAAAAAAAAAAAAAAGAAAAUGUGUUGAAGUAUAACAUACAUGAGGCAAAACGCACACAGCUUAAGCAUUAACUCAAUGACUCUGUAUAUACGUAUACAUCCUCACAGGUUCCAGACCAAGACAUGGAACAUUUCCUGCUCUCCCUGAAAGUCUCCCUGUGCCAGCCCCUCACCAGGCAAUAAUUCCCCAGAGAUAGUGCCUCUUCCCAACCCUGUACCCUAGAUCAUUGUUGCCUGUCCUUGAACCUCAGAUAAAGGGAGGCUCCUUUUGCCCAUCUUCGUUUUUGUGAUGUCUGUCCAUUGUGGUGUGCAUAGCUGUGAUUUGUUCUUUUUCACACUGUGAAGGUGUAGGUGGUUUUCACCUGAUGCUUCAGUUCCCUUCCAACUUUAGUAUAAGCCAAGAAUAAUCAAACCACUACAUCUGGAUCAGAGACAAAUGACCUCCCAGAUUGGCUAGUUUUGUAAGGAACUUCAGUUGAAAUUGAAACAGUCAUCAGCUGCUUCUCAAACCAGCUACACUACAUAAGGAGGAGCCCAAGGGAAACUGCAGGACAACAGGUCCACUGGGAAACUUCAGGGGGCCAAGCUGUCAAAGACAAGCACAGAAAAAUUCCUGCAAUGUGCGUUAGACCUUGAGGCAGCUUUUAAUGGCAAAAGUCAGUACAACCCAUUUCCUUUUUCUCUAAAUGAGAGGAAAGUAGAAUAGGUUCCAUCAGGAAAGAGUCACACCCAGGCCAUGACAAACUCAUGGAGGAUCCUGUCAAUCAAAUUCCUUUCUGCUGGGCAGAAAAAGUAUGUGGGAGCUUGUUAGUAAGGUGCAUUCCCAACCUAUCCUGAGGAUGUGGGACUCAGGAAGCCCAACAAUCUGCCCUAUUUACAAGGUCCCAGGUAUCCUUUCAUAUUAAGAUUUGAGACCUGCUGUUUCAGAGAAAGGGACAGCUUGGCAUGUAUUUUUUGGUAAAUCCUGGAGGGCAAGUCUAAAAAGCAAAAAAUAUACCGCCCAGCACCUAUUUGUUGAUAUUUUAAAUUGACUUGUUUGGGGUGUUUGGAAGAAAUAAAGACAGAGUAUGAAAACACAACCUGUAGCUAUGUCUAUAUGUAUUUCAUUUUUCACUUGAGUACUAUGUUUCUUAAAGACUCCUGUAAGAAAUAAUUCAGAACCACAUAAAUAAUAAAGAGAUUAAAAUUUUAAAUCCACAGAGGACAAACAUUAAGUAUUCACAAUUUGAGGAAUUUGUUCAUUCUGUCAGGAUCAUUCAGAAAGAAAACACAUACAUGCCACUAAUUUAAUUUUGCCCUCGUAAACUUGGGCAGACAAGGUGCUGAGUGUGGCAGAGGAGCCUGGGGAGAGCCCUGAGGGCUUAUUUUUGUUAAUAUACAAAUAUUAGGCUUAGGUAUCCUAUAUUUUAAAUCAAGACAAUAGAUCUAAAAAAUGUUUUAGCAUUUUGAAAUUUCAAAACUUCAUCCUGGUAGACCAUGAUAUGCAGUACAUCUUAAGUGGAAAAAAAAAGAAGCUACACUAUGAAUUGUAUAAUCCCAUUUUUGUAAAGUUAAGCAAAAUCAUCUCUCUCUCUCUAUCUCUGAUUACUUUGGGAUGUGGGAUUACAGGAUUUGGGGUUGGGGAUCAGAGAAUGUAGAGGGACUUUCACUUUUUAUUUUAUACUCUUCCAUAGCUUUAAAAUUAUUUUUCUUCCAUCAGUAUGUCCAAUUUUAUUAAUUAAA
rnacentral:lncRNA from 1 species